rnacentral:lncRNA from 1 species
CCAGAGAUGUCCCAAAUUCAAGCAAGAAGGCUGGACUUUUGUAUCCCCGUGUUAAUCAAUCUUUGGACAUGGGCUACCCCAGGAAGGUGGGUCAGGCACUUCCCCUGCGGGUCAUGUUGCUGCUCCAUCUAAUUAUCGUCUGGCGGCCAGCAGAGGAAAUGGUAAAUCCUGAAGCGGUGGUGAGACGACCCCUGCAUUAUCUUCAAGCCGUCAAGCCAGGGAGGAAUAAUAACCCCGGACAGAGAGGAAUCUGAGUUUGCAAGCCGUCAAGUGCAUUGACCUCUUUGUCCUCAACCAAAUCUGAGGUCACCAAUCCUUUCCAAACUCAGCCAUGAUGUUGGCAGAGCAGAUUUGCCAGGUUCUUCUCGGGGGCCCCACUACCCUUAUAUUUAAAUCCUUAGUCUAAUUCUCAUCUUUUCCUGCCCCCCUGCUGCAGGAAAUGAGAGCCCCUCUGUAUGCUGCAAAGGGGGAGCCCUGCUUUCACACUUUGCCUAAAUUAAUGAUGAUGUUUACCGUCUUACUGCAAAGCAUAGAUUGUACUCAUCAGGAACCAGCCAGUUUCAUUACUCUCAUAAUGACUUCUCCAACCUCUCAAAUGCCUGAGAAACUGCACCUGCCAGUUGCUUCCUCCUCCUCCUACUCUGUCCUUUUGUGCUAAUGCCAGGGGCUAGCCCUACUCCACCUCCCACCGGUAAGGAGGACUUUACUGAUAGCCUGCUGGUGUGACCUGCACGUAUAUAUCCAGAUGGCCUGAAGUAACUGAAGAAUCACAGAGGAAGUGAAAUUUAAAUGGCCUGUUCCUGCCUUAACUGAUGACAUUCCACUACAAAAGAAGUGAAAAUGGCCGGUCCUUGCCUUAACCGAUGACAUUACCUUGUGAAAUUCCUCCUCCUGGCUCAUCCUGGCUCAAAAAGCUCCCCCACGGAGCACCUUGUCACCCCCACUCCUGCCCGCCAGAGAACAACCCCCCUUUGACUGUAAUUUUCCUUUACCUACCCAAAUCUUAUAAAACGGCCUCACCCCUAUCUCCCCUUUGCUGACUCUCUUUUCGGACUCAGACGGCCUGCACCCAGCUGAUUAAAAAGCUUUAUCGCUCAC